CUUGCAACACUCUGCUUCUAACUUGCCCAGUCUGCAGCAUCUCAGACAUACCCAUGGAAGGAUAAACUAGAAGCAUGUAAAGAAAAGAAGAGUAAUUCAGACAAAUUUUAGGUGUUGUGCUUUCCUGCUUGAGCAAAAUACACUUACUGGACAACUAUAGAAAGAAAACUGCAGAAGAGAAGUUACAUUUAUGCAAAAAGCCCACUUCUACUAAGACCAAGAGAAUUGUAAGAUGCUCUCCUACUUGUCACCCAUCUCUACAAAUGCUGCUUACCUGCUUGAUUUUGUUUGAGAAACCUUAUUUGAAUGCAUAACAUACUGAAAAGGUAAGAUGGAAAAGAUCUUCCUUUCAUUUGCAAUAGCAAGAGUUGAAUAAUCGCAGCAGUUUAUUUCUACCUUACUGUCUCUUAGCAGUGUUAUUUAGACAAAUCAAGUACCUAACCACAUCUAAGGAUGAAAAAAGGUUGAGCCUUUGUGUGCAUUUGAUUUUGCUUCUCCA
rnacentral:lncRNA from 1 species